rnacentral:rRNA from 1 species
UGGGGAAUAUUGCACAAUGGGCGCAAGCCUGAUGCAGCCAUGCCGCGUGUGUGAAGAAGGCCUUCGGGUUGUAAAGCACUUUCAGCGGGGAGGAAGGCGUUAAGGUUAAUAACCUUGGCGAUUGACGUUACCCGCAGAAGAAGCACCGGCUAACUCCGUGCCAGCAGCCGCGGUAAUACGGAGGGUGCAAGCGUUAAUCGGAAUUACUGGGCGUAAAGCGCACGCAGGCGGUCUGUCAAGUCGGAUGUGAAAUCCCCGGGCUCAACCUGGGAACUGCAUUCGAAACUGGCAGGCUAGAGUCUUGUAGAGGGGGGUAGAAUUCCAGAUGUAGCGGUGAAAUGCGUAGAGAUCUGGAGGAAUACCGGUGGCGAAGGCGGCCCCCUGGACAAAGACUGACGCUCAGGUGCGAAAGCGUGGGGAGCAAACAGG